AUCCUGUAGCACUAAUUGCAGGUGUUGCCUGCCCUAUGCGCGGUAAAUGGCCGCAGAACUUUAACUGUGCUAAGGUAGCAUAAUCAUUUGUCUUUUAAAUGGGGACUGUAUGAAUGGCUUAAUGGGAUAAUGCUGUCUUAAUAAAGUUUCAUAGAAAUUAUUGAAAAGGUGAAAAUCCCUUUAAAAUAUAAAAAGACGAGAAGACCCUAAGAGUUUAAGUUAAAAAGAGUAUAUUUUUUAGAUUUUUGUUGGGGCAACAAAGGAGUUAUCCUCCUUUAAUAGACUAGAAAUUUAUUUUAGAAAGGAAACACUACCUUAGGGAUAACAGCACAAUCUGUAACGGGUUUGUGACCUCGAUGUUGGACUAGGAAUAGCUAUUUUCAGAAGAAAUAUGUUAAUGCUCUGUUCGAGCAAAUCUAACCU
rnacentral:rRNA from 1 species